CGACUAAUGUUGAAAAAUUAGCGGAUGACCUGUGGCUGGGGGUGAAAGGCCAAUCAAACCGGGAGAUAGCUGGUUCUCCCCGAAAGCUAUUUAGGUAGCGCCUCGUGAACUCAUCUUCGGGGGUAGAGCACUGUUUCGGCUAGGGGGCCAUCCCGGCUUACCAACCCGAUGCAAACUGCGAAUACCGAAGAAUGUUAUCACGGGAGACACACGGCGGGUGCUAACGUCCGUCGUGAAGAGGGAAACAACCCAGACCGCCAGCUAAGGUCCCAAAGUCAUGGUUAAGUGGGAAACGAUGUGGGAAGGCCCAGACAGCCAGGAUGUUGGCUUAGAAGCAGCCAUCAUUUAAAGAAAGCGUAAUAGCUCAC
rnacentral:rRNA from 1 species